rnacentral:rRNA from 1 species
AUACGGAGGGUGCAAGCGUUAUCCGGAAUCAUUGGGUUUAAAGGGUCCGUAGGCGGACUAUUAAGUCAGAGGUGAAAUCCCACAGCUCAACUGUGGAACUGCCUUUGAUACUGGUAGUCUUGAGUUAUAUGGAAGUAGAUAGAAUGUGUAGUGUAGCGGUGAAAUGCAUAGAUAUUACACAGAAUACCGAUUGCGAAGGCAGUCUACUACGUAUAUACUGACGCUAAGGGACGAAAGCGUGGGGAGCGAACAGGAGUAGAUACCCCAGUAGUCC